UGGGGAAUAUUGGACAAUGGGCGCAAGCCUGAUCCAGCCAUGCCGCGUGAGUGAAGAAGGCCUUCGGGUUGUAAAGCUCUUUUGUCCGGAAAGAAAAGCAUUCGGUUAAUAACCGGGUGUCAUGACGGUACCGGAAGAAUAAGCACCGGCUAACUUCGUGCCAGCAGCCGCGGUAAUACGAAGGGUGCAAGCGUUACUCGGAAUUACUGAGCGUAAAGGGUGCGUAGGUGGUUUCUUAAGUCAGAGGUGAAAGGCUACGGCUCAACCGUAGUAAGCCUUUGAAACUGGGAAACUUGAGUGCAGGAGAGGAGAGUGGAAUUCCUAGUGUAGCGGUGAAAUGCGUAGAUAUUAGGAGGAACACCAGUUGCGAAGGCGGCUCUCUGGACUGUAACUGACACUGAGGCACGAAAGCGUGGGGAGCAAACA
rnacentral:rRNA from 1 species